rnacentral:rRNA from 1 species
GACGAACGCUGGCGGCGUGCUUAACACAUGCAAGUGGAGCGACGAACCGGGCUUCGGCCCGGGGCAAAGCCGCGAACGGGUGAGUAUCACGUGGGUAACCUGCCCCGAUGACCGGGACAACCCGAGGAAACUCGGGCUAAUACCGGAUGUGCUCUCAAUCCACCAGGGUUGAGAACAAAGGAAGCUUCGGCCUCCGCAUUGGGAUAGGCCCGCGGCCCAUUAGCUUGUUGGUGAGGUAAAGGCUCACCAAGGCGACGAUGGGUAGCUGGUCUGAGAGGACGAUCAGCCACACUGGGACUGAGACACGGCCCAGACUCCUACGGGAGGCAGCGGUGGGGAAUCUUGCGCAAUGCGCGAAGGCGUGACGCAGCAACGCCGCGUGAGGGAAGAAGGCCUUCGGGUUGUAAACCUCUUUCAGGAGGGACGAAGGUUCAGGCGCGAAUAGCGUCCUGGACUGACGGUACCUCCAGAAGAAGCCCCGGCUAACUACGUGCCAGCCGCCGCGGUAAGAC